AUACGUAGGGGACGAGCGUUGUCCGGAAUUACUGGGCGUAAAGAGCUCGUAGGUGGUUUGUCGCGUCGUCUGUGAAAUUCCGGGGCUUAACUCCGGGCGUGCAGGCGAUACGGGCAUAACUUGAGUACUGUAGGGGAGACUGGAAUUCCUGGUGUAGCGGUGAAAUGCGCAGAUAUCAGGAGGAACACCGGUGGCGAAGGCGGGUCUCUGGGCAGUAACUGACGCUGAGGAGCGAAAGCAUGGGUAGCGAACAGGAUUAGAUACCCUGGUAGUCCAUGCCGUAAACGGUGGGCGCUAGGUGUAGGGGUCUUCCACGACUUCUGUGCCGUAGCUAACGCAUUAAGCGCCCCGCCUGGGGAGUACGGCCGCAAGGCUAAAACUCAAAGGAAUUGACGGGG
rnacentral:rRNA from 1 species